ACACGCGUCCUCCCCUCGGCGGGGAGGCCGGCUAGGGGCAGGCGGGCAGCGAUGCCUGCGUCGGCCACAGCUGCCUGGCACUGCCCUCCUUUGUGCCUGCCUCCUCUGCCAGCCUCCGCUCCAACCUCCCCCCCCAACCCCGCAACGAGGCCUGCUCCUGGGCCCGGCCGCAGGGCCCGUUGCCCACAGAGCGCCCACCCUGCGCCCACCCGGGGUGCCCUCACCUUCUGGGCCCCUGGCUCCUGGCCUCGGGUCCUGCUGGUGCCCAGGUCGCCCGGCCCCGUCCUCCGUGCUCCGCGUUUGCCCCACCCUGCUGCCCGAGCUCGGCGGCGAGCCUGGCACGGUGCCAGGCUGCCUGGGAGCCCAGCCCGGGCAGGGCGAACUUUCCAGCGAGGGUUGGUCUCAAACUCCUGGGCUCAUGCAAUCUUCCUGCCUCGGCCUCCCAAUGUGCUGGAAUUACAGGUAUGAGCUACCGCGCUCAGCCCAAACCCAGGGCUCUUAACCACCCUACUAUGUACUGUGCUGGCCCCCGGUCAAGGGAGAGAACUCACGUCAGGCAAAAAUGUUUUACAGAGAGGCAGCUAAGUCUUUUCCACAGUGGAUGACACAGUCCCCCUCACAAACCACCCCACAGAUCCAACCCCAAGGAACUCUGCUUCUACGUGUGCCCUUGGGGCAAGGGAUGCAAAGCACCAGGCGAUGGAGCUCAGAGGAUGGCACUCUUCCAGAGAGCUGUGUGUCUCUGGGAAAGCUAACACACCUCUCUGAGCCUGUUGCUACAGCUUUACCAUCAGCGAUGUGACUGCAAGCCUUCUCAGCUGCCUGUCAGCAGAUGCACAGGCCUGUGCACAGAGCUCUGCGGAGACCACGCCGACAUCGCCGCACACCCACCCUCCUGCUCAUGGGACAGACCAUUCACACCUGCUUCACCACCAGCCACAGGCUUGUCGGAAGGAGCAGACUCUUCUCCACGGACAAGCCACUGCCCCUUUGAGGGCCUCAGCUUCCUUACCCUAUGAGAUGAGGAAACAGAUCUUCACUUGCCACAGGACUUGGGGGGAUGAAAAGGUAACCUCCGUAAAGCUGCCCCUGGUGUGGGGAAGCCACCCCAUAGAUGACAUUGCCCGCCCUCCCCCUAGGCCCAGAGCUCUACAGAGUCCUCAAGCUGGUGUCCCUCCAGGCUAAAACACUUCCACCCCCUGGGCAGUGCACUACAGGGUGGUGGGGAAGGGGCCAUCUGUGGAAGAAACACAGGGCCUGGCCUGGGGUCCUGGGCAAGACCUCUGUGACCUCAGUUUCCCCAGAUCCCUCCAGGUGUGACCUUGUAGAUGGCCUCUAUUCUGGAUUCACAGCUGCUGAGGAGGAGGAAGAGGACACUGAAGGCAUUCCUUCAGUCCCCUGGGGAGGUUCAGAUGCUCAGACUCCCUGAUACCACCUUUCCUGGGCAGAAUAAAGUCCCCAAGAUGUCCAAGCCCUAAUCCCUGGAGCCUGGGAAAGUGUUACCUCCCAGACCAAAGGGACUUUGUAGGUGUGUGAUUGAGUUGAAGAUCUGCAGUGAGAGGGUAGCCUGGAUUAGCCACGUGUGCCCAAAAGCAGAGACUCCUUCCCAGCCGUGGUCAGAGACAGAACAAGGGGACGCUGCUGGCUUUAAAGACGGAAGAAGGGACGAGGAGCCAAGGAGUGCAAGUGCCGCCAGAGGCCAGAAAAGGCAAGGGAUGGAUUUUUCCCCUGGAGUUCCAGGAGGAACCAGCCCUGCCAACACCUGGAUUUUAGUUCUGGGACCCCACCUCAGACAUCUGACCCCCUUGACUGUAAGGUAAUAAAUGUGCGUUGCUUAAGCCACUGAGUCAGCCAUAAGUUGUUACAUGGCUGCCACAGGAAACUAACAGGCCCUCCCCUCUGGCCCCAACAUGCCCAGCUGCCUGUGAAGGGGAAGAAGGAUGGCACAAGGCACGGCCCUCAUCGAUGUGUUCACACACCUUGCUCCCCUACUGAGCUGGCCCUGGGGCUGCAGACCUGAUCCCUGCUCUCAGGAGCCUUCGCCAGCUGAGAGACGCCCGCAGAGCCUCCCCUCCACUGCGGAGGCUCGAACCUUCCCUCCUGCUGCUGCUGCCCCAUCCUCUCCUCUUCCUCCUGCUGCUGUUUGUUGAGUGCUCCCUGUGAGUAGGCACCAGGCUAGUGUCCUCCUCCCAACCCCAGCCUCAUAGGCUCAGCGGUCAGGCCACCCGAGCAGUCACAUUGUAGACCCCUGAAUCCUGCCCAUGGUUUGGCAGGACAAAGGGCCUUUUCUGCUUCAGAGUCACAAAUGUGUCCUCCUCACAAUAAGGGUGGCAUGGAGGUCCCUGGGCCAGUGCCUCAGCCUAUUGAGCCUGGGGUCCUUGUCUGUACAGGGGGAUGAAGGUAGCACCUCACAGAUGGCGAUAAACCCAGCCAGUGCAGGGCAGGCAGUCAGCGCUCCAAACUCGCUUCAAGUCUUUGCCUAUGCUGCCAAUCAAGUCAGCUGUGGGAAGAGUCAGGUUUUUCUCUUGAAAGUCAGGGCCGGGCACGGUGGCUCAUGCCUGUAAUCCCAGCACUUUGGGAGGCUGAGGUGGGUAGAUCACAAGGUCAGGAGACCGAGACCAUCCUGGCUAACACAGUGAAACCCUGUCUCUACUAAAAAUACAAAAAAUUAGCCGGGCAUGGUGGCACGCACCUGUAGUCCCACCUACUUGGGAGGCUGAGGCAGGAGAAUCACUUGAACCUGGGAGGCAGAGGUUUGCAGUGAACCGAGAUCACGCCACUGCACUCCAGCCCUGGACGACAGUGAGACUCUAUCUC
ensembl:lncRNA PRR34 PRR34 long non-coding RNA